rnacentral:misc_RNA from 1 species
GAUAUUGAAAAGGAGGAUGCUUUCCGAGGCCUGUGUGCAAUGGUUCGAGCAAAUCCUUCAGGAGCUUUAAGCUCACUUGUUUUCAUGUGCAAAGCUAUAGCAAGUUGGCAUGAAAUAAGGAGCGAGGAGCUGCACAAUGAAGUUUGUCAGGUGUUGCAUGGUUACAAACAGAUGCUUGGAAAUGGAGGAUGGGACCAGUAUAUGUCUGCUCUGGAGCCUCCGGUGAAGGAGAAGCUUUCAAAAUAUCAAGUAUAAUGCUAUUCAAGUUUUGCUUGCUAAACCUUUGCAUACUAUUUGGGUCUUCUGUGCUGGGUAUUUGCAUCAGCCAUGAUAAUCAUUUUGCGCUUUGUCCUAUAUGAUUGGAGCCACAAGUCAUUUAGGCACAGACCAGGAUUUGGUCGCCAUUUUUUUCAUGCAAAGCAUUGGUAUUGCCAUAAUUCUAUGAAGCUUGAAGCUAAUAUGCACCUCUUCUAAGUAUUCAACAGAUUGGUUCUCUGAGUCGCAUAUGGUUCGAGAAAAAUGAAGGAAUUGGAAUAUAGAAAUGGUAGGCAGGGGUGCAGCUUCCAAGCUUUUGAGAGCAUUUUUCAUAUUGGAUGUUUUGUGUGAGAGUAUGGCCUAUAAUGAUCUCAUUAAAGCUUCCAAUAUGAAAAAUGCUUCUUUUUAUUUUUGGGUCUUAUGUUUUUGUUUUUUUCCUUCAAGAGUUGAUAGGUUUUUGUGUGAUUUUCCCAGAUUUUGUACAACAAGC